UUGUGCUUGCCACCGCUCGUAAUCGACCGAGAGACACGGACGCGCGGUAUGUCGACAACCGCCGGCAGCACCCAGUCGUCGUCAUCGCCGCAUUGGUCUGACCUGCCAGACGACCUCCUCGGGCUGGUCCACCUCAGGCUUGCCUGCCCGCGCGAUCGUGUGCGCGUCGCCGCCGUUUGCAAGGGGUGGCGAGCCGCCGCGUCGCUGCUCCCGCGGCCGCCGGCCCGCCUGCUUCUGCUCGUGUCGCCGCGGCGUGUCCGAUGCAACGGGACGAAGCGGCUGUGCGGCCCCGACGACAGCUGGGUCGUGCGCGUUCCAGACAAGGCAGAAGGCAAGUGGUUCCUCGGCUCACACGAAGGCGGCUGGGUCGCUGCGGUCGACUGCAGCAAGCUCGUCAUCGUGAAUCUCUUCUCUGGUGCGGAGGUGGAGGCCAGCCCAUCUCCAGACGUAGAUGACAUCGGAACAACCAGCCUUCAUAAAAUCAUCUUCUCCGAAGCCCCCUCCUCUAGCAGCUGCAUCCUUGCAGCCAUAGCUUAUCAGCGGUGCCACAUUGCACUGUGUAAAGUUGGCCGCCACCAGAGCGGGUGGACCGUAAAAACAUUGGGCGAAAAGUUCAUUAUAGACAUCGCAUUCUGCAAAGGUGAGCUAUAUGGUCUUGUCUAUCCUAACGAGGAGCUAAUCAAGUUCAAAAUUGACAUGAAGGCAGAGGGCACGCCGGUCAUCACAUCCUGCCACCCGCUGGCCAUCGAAAGGCGCCAGGGUCCCCAGCUAUCUGAGGGCCAUCUCAUCGAGCUACACGGCAAGCCAUGUAUGGCAAUAGAUCGGCCGUGGUUGCCCAACCGAGAGUCCUUCUUCAAGGUUUUUACGCUUGUCGACACCGAUAACGACAAGGCUUACAAGUACAAGUGGGCAGAAAUACUUAGUUUUGAUGACCACGCCUUGUUCUUAGGGGUGAAUUGGUCUAAAGCGGUGCACGUGACGGCAGAUGGGCAUCAUGGAUUGGAGAGAAAUCAAGUCUACUACUCGGAAGAAAACUUAUCGCCAACAAAGAAGUUGCCCGAUGAUGUGGUGUACCUUGUUACAAUUGACAACGACGGGCAAAUGUACUGUAGGGAAGACCAAAGUGUUGGUGAUGGGGUCGAGAGGACAGGAUAUUACGUGACGAAUCGUAAACAUCGUCCCAUGUGGGUUUGC
rnacentral:rRNA from 1 species